GUUGUAUAGUCAAGUAAUUAAGUGCAUGUGGUGGAUGCCUUGGCAGUCAGAGGCGAUGAAAGACGUGAUAGCCUGCGAAAAGCUCCGGGGAGGCGGCAAAUAUCCUUUGAUCCGGAGAUGUCUGAAUGGGGGAACCCACCUACUUUAAGGUAGGUAUUGCAACAUGAAUACAUAGUGUUGCAAGGCGAACGAGGGGAAGUGAAACAUCUCAGUACCCUUAGGAAAAGAAAUCAAUUGAGAUUCCCUCAGUAGCGGCGAGCGAACGGGGAUCAGCCCAUUAAGUUAUGUGUGUUUUAGUGGAACGCUCUGGGAAGUGCGAACGUAGAGGGUGAUAUUCCCGUACACGAAAGGGCACACAUAAUGAUGACGAGUAGGGCGAGGCACGUGAAACCUUGUCUGAAUAUGGGGGGACCAUCCUCCAAGGCUAAAUACUCCUGACUGACCGAUAGUGAACCAGUACCGUGAGGGAAAGGCGAAAAGAACCCCUGUGAGGGGAGUGAAAUAGAUCCUGAAACCGCAUGCAUACAAGCAGUGGGAGCACCUUCGUGGUGUGACUGCGUACCUUUUGUAUAAUGGGUCAGCGACUUAUAUUCAGUAGCGAGGUUAACCGUAUAGGGGAGCCGUAGAGAAAUCGAGUCUUAAUAGGGCGUUUAGUUGCUGGGUAUAGACCCGAAACCAGGCGAUCUAUCCAUGAGCAGGUUGAAGGUUGGGUAACACUAACUGGAGGACCGAACCCACUGUCGUUGAAAAGCCAGGGGAUGACUUGUGGAUAGGGGUGAAAGGCUAAUCAAGCCUGGUGAUAGCUGGUUCUCCCCGAAAGCUAUUUAGGUAGCGCCUCGGACGAAUACCAUAGGGGGUAGAGCACUGUUUCGGCUAGGGGGUCAUCCCGACUUACCAAACCGAUGCAAACUCCGAAUACCUAUGAGUACUAUCCGGGAGACAGACUGCGGGUGCUAACGUCCGUAGUCAAGAGGAAAACAAUCCAGACCGCCAGCUAAGGCCCCAAAAUCAUAGUUAAGUGGGAAACGAUGUGGGAAGGCAUAGACAGCUAGGAGGUUGGCUUAGAAGCAGCCACCCUUUAAAGAAAGCGUAAUAGCUCACUAGUCGAGUCGGCCUGCGCGGAAGAUGUAACGGGGCUAAAACUAUGUGCCGAAGCUGCGGAUNNNNUGCUGGAGGUAUCAGAAGUGCGAAUGCUGACGUGAGUAACGACAAAACGGGUGAAAAACCCGUUCGCCGAAAGACCAAGGGUUCCAGUCCAACGUUAAUCGGGGCUGGGUGAGUCGACCCCUAAGGCGAGGCCGAAAGGCGUAGUCGAUGGGAAAAUGGUUAAUAUUCCAUUACUUCUGUGUAAUGCGAUGAGAGGACGGAGAAGGCUAAAUCAGCCUGGCGUUGGUUGUCCAGGUGAAAGGAUGUAGGCAUGUAUCUUAGGCAAAUCCGGGGUACUCUAUGCUGAGAUCUGAUAGCAAGCUGUACUUGUACAGCGAAGUGGUUGAUGCCAUGCUUCCAGGAAAAGUCUCUAAGCUUCAGUUACACAGGAAUCGUACCCGAAACCGACACAGGUGGUCAGGUCGAGUAGACCAAGGCGCUUGAGAGAACUCUGCUGAAGGAACUAGGCAAAAUGGUACCGUAACUUCGGGAGAAGGUACGCUGUUGUUGGUGAUGGAACUCGCUUCCUGAGCUGACGACAGCCGCAGAAACCAGGCCGCUGCAACUGUUUAUUAAAAACAUAGCACUCUGCAAACACGAAAGUGGACGUAUAGGGUGUGAUGCCUGCCCGGUGCUGGAAGGUUAAUUGAUGGGGUUAGCGUAAGCGAAGCUCUUGAUCGAAGCCCCAGUAAACGGCGGCCGUAACUAUAACGGUCCUAAGGUAGCGAAAUUCCUUGUCGGGUAAGUUCCGACCUGCACGAAUGGCAUAAUGAUGGCGGCGCUGUCUCCAGCAGAGGCUCAGUGAAAUCGAAAUCGCUGUGAAGAUGCAGUGUACCCGCGGCUAGACGGAAAGACCCCGUGAACCUUUACUGCAGCUUGACACUGAACUUUGACCUUACUUGUGUAGGAUAGGUGGGAGGCUUUGAAGCUGGAACGCUAGUUCCAGUGGAGCCGUCCUUGAAAUACCACCCUGGUAAUGUUGAGGUUCUAACUCUGUCCCGUGAUCCGGGACGAGGACCGUGUCUGGUGGGUAGUUUGACUGGGGCGGUCUCCUCCUAAAGAGUAACGGAGGAGUACGAAGGUGCGCUCAGCGUGGUCGGAAAUCACGCGUAGAGUAUAAAGGCAAAAGCGCGCUUAACUGCGAGACCCACAAGUCGAGCAGGUACGAAAGUAGGUCUUAGUGAUCCGGUGGUUCUGUAUGGAAGGGCCAUCGCUCAACGGAUAAAAGGUACUCUGGGGAUAACAGGCUGAUACCGCCCAAGAGUUCAUAUCGACGGCGGUGUUUGGCACCUCGAUGUCGGCUCAUCUCAUCCUGGGGCUGAAGCAGGUCCCAAGGGUAUGGCUGUUCGCCAUUUAAAGAGGUACGCGAGCUGGGUUUAGAACGUCGUGAGACAGUUCGGUCCCUAUCUACCGUGGGCGCUGGAAAUUUGAGAGGAUCUGCUCCUAGUACGAGAGGACCAGAGUGGACGAACCUCUGGUGUACCGGUUGUGACGCCAGUCGCAUCGCCGGGUAGCUAUGUUCGGAAGGGAUAACCGCUGAAAGCAUCUAAGCGGGAAGCCUACCUCAAGAUAAGAUUUCCCUAGGACUUUAUGUCCUCUAAAGAGCCGUUCGAGACUAGGACGUUGAUAGGUUGGAUGUGGAAGCAUAGUGAUAUGUGAAGCUGACCAAUACUAAUUGCUCGUGAGGCUUGACUAUACAACACCCAAGCAGUUG
rnacentral:rRNA from 1 species